UACGAAGGGUGCAAACGUUGCUCGGAAUUAUUGGGCGUAAAGCGCACGUAGGCGGCUUAGCAAGUCGGAAGUGAAAGCCCUUGGCUCAACCAAGGAAGUGCUUUCGAAACUGCUGAGCUUGAGUAGUUAAGAGGAUCGCGGAAUUCCCGGUGUAGAGGUGAAAUUCGUAGAUAUCGGGAGGAACACCAGUGGCGAAGGCGGCGAUCUGGGAACAUACUGACGCUGAGGUGCGAAAGCGUGGGGAGCAAACAGGG
rnacentral:rRNA from 1 species